ensembl:misc_RNA 7SK 7SK RNA
GGCUAGUGUGAGAGCAAUUGGACUGUGACAUCUGUCAUCCCAAUGAUCUCUAGGGUUGAUUAGGCUGAUCUAGCUGGCUAGUCAUGUGUUCCCUCCCUCUGUAUUUGCUCCACAUGCAUCCCUCCCAGAGCUGCAUGCUCUGUCAAAGACAAUGACCUUCCCUAAUACCAGAAGACCACUGCUUGGUGUGGGAGUAGCUACACUCCGCAGCUAAAAUCUCCAAACAAGCUGUCAAGUUGGGCUGGAAACUGAGUUGCUUCCUUCUCUUUCUCCUCACUCAAAUACAAGGGUAUGCUUAGGGGUAUACCUGGGGACUUCUACAUCUUU